AAUGAGAACCAAUAGCUGGUUUCUUCUGGUACCCAGCAUGUUUUUGUAAACAAAAAGAAAGAAAGAGAAAUUAAAAAUGAAUGACAUUAUUGUACCGAUAGUUUCCUUUGUUGCUUCUCUAUUCUUUGUUAUUCUGUUCAUUGCAUUUGGUUGGUAUGUUGUAUGGACAUUAUUUCUCAAAAAGUUCAAGUUUGUACGGGAACUUCUUGGUACCAGUUCAGAAUCAGAUGUACAAGAAAAACCAAAAAGGACAAGAGAAAGAAAAAUCAGACGUGAUUAGAUCUCGAUUUACGCUUAAAGAUACCUCAAUAUUUUGAAGUGUUCGGCAAAGAAAAAGGAUUCUGUGAUACCAUUUUGAAUGUUAACAGCUAGUUUUGAUCAGCUCACUUAUGAGAUAUUAUGUGUCAUGAAAUAUUCUGUAUCAGGAGAUAUUCUGUUUCAGGAGAUAUGAUAAGUUUUUCUGCAGAUAAUGUAUCAGUGCAUAUUAUCUUUCAUAAAUAUUUUCAUUUUAUUGUAAAUUAAACUUUUAUGCAUUUUCAUCUAAAUAACUAAACUGUGUAUCUGUCAUUGAGCAAAACUGCAUCUUGUAAGUUAAAAUGUGUAUUAUAUGGUGUGCAUUGUUUUAGGAUAGUGUUAAAUAAUCUUUGAAUGGUAAUAACUAGUCUAGUUGUGAAUAUAUAUCUUACCUGCCAUCAGGAUACAUGCAAUAUUUACUAUGUAACUACAAUUUUACCCAGAUUUUAAUGCCAUGUUUACAUGUAAAUGAAGGAAUCUGUAUGAAUGAUGUGCAAUUUUGUAUUGAUUGUGGAAUGAACACUUCUGAAACUUUUGACAAAAGCAGGAUACUUUAAUGAGUGCAAUAGUUUUUGAGGACAUAAAUGAUUUGUUAUUGAGGUUGUGUCUAUGUAUGGUUAUGUUUCACUGGCUUCCUGUAGCUUCUAGAUCAUCUGAGUACUUUAAAAAGGUGUUGUUCAACAUCCUUUCCUUGUUUACUAAAUACUUUAAAGAUUAAAUGACUGUCUCUACUGGAUGUAUUAAUUUAGUUUUAUAGACAGUGUAUAACAAUGGCAUUAAUAUAAUUAUUAAGUCAGGGCUAUUCUUGCAUGCCAUCUUUUUUUUCUGAGUGUUUGUAGUUUUUCCUUAUGCAUUAUGUUUAUUUAUCUGCCUUUAAAGGGACUCCACUGAGGUUUUUGACAUGACAGGACUGACAAUAACUUUCCAAGAUUAAUGUUCAAUUUGAUGUAGUUCUAGACUAAGAGCUUGUGUCCAAAAUUUCUGAUUUCACUCAAAUCGAGCAAAGAAAAUAGCACAAACAUACAAUUUUCAAUUUAUGUCUGGGUAUAUUUCCUAAUUAUCCUUUGCAUAUCUUUCUGUUUUAAAUGCCCCAGUUGAUUUUAUAAGAAAUUCAAAUUGUAUGUUUUUAGGCUUUCAGAUCUUAGUGGAGUUCCUUUAAUUUAUUCCUUUAAUUUGUAAUUAUGUAUGUUAUUAUGUAUGUAACCAAUAUAGUGCGUUUGCGACCAGCAUGGAUCCAGACCAGCCUGCGCAUCCGCCCAGACUGAUAAGGAUCCAUGCUGUUCGCUAUCAGUUUCUCUACUUGCAAUAGAGUUGGUAAGCGAACAGCAUGGAUCCUGAUCAAACUGUGCGGAUGCGCAGGCUGGUCUGGAUCCUUGCUGGUCGCAAACGCACUAUGUUGGUUUUGUCGUUAUGCGGCUCAAUUAAUUACAUACAUUUUUGGUUAUUCUCAGAGUAUACAGCAUUCUUUGAUUGUUAACAAUCAACAUUAUAUAUUAGUUAACAAAAUUAUGAAGUGGGGAAAACAAAUUGCCUAGAAGCCUGACAACUAUUAUACUGGUUUUACAUGUAGGUUUAAACCACUUGCAUAAGAAUUUUUGAGUGAAAAUAUGAAGUGAAAAAAAAUGUGGUCACAGUAUUGUUUCAUAUUUUAUUUCAAGAAACACAUAGAAAUGGUUAAAGAAAUUUCCUGCAAUUGAUGCAAGUCAUUUGAGUAAAGGAUAGUGUUGUGAUAUAAGGUUAUGCUUUUUAAAAGCUCUAGCUUUACAAUUGUGUGUAACGAUCAUGUUUUGUCAUAUGUUUAGACAAAAAAAUCAACAUUUGAAAUAUUCAUCUUUUAUAUGAUACAAGCUGUUUGUUUUAACUAAUUGAUGGCACAUGUAAUUGUAUUUCAGAUUUUUUUGUAGUUUUUAUUCAUCAUGUUUUAUAUAUCUUGUAUAUAUCAGUCAUACCAGAAAGCAGGGAUCAGUUUUAUCUAUGAAUAAAAUAAAAUGUAAAUUGUAUCAAGU